rnacentral:lncRNA from 10 species
AAAAUUUCUAACAAGUAUAGGUAGUUCUUGGUAAUGGAAUUAAAUUUUAUGUGUAUUUCAUGUAUAUAAAUUUUGUAUGUAUUUAUUUAUUUAAUAGGUCUUCAUCCUCCAGGUCCACCUUUAGCAAGACCUAUUCUCCCCCGAGAACGAGGUGCUUUGGAUAGAAUUGUUGAAUAUUUGGUUGGUGAUGGUCCACAAAACAGGUAUGCACUUAUAUGUCAGCAGUGUUUUUCUCAUAAUGGCAUGGCUUUGAAGGAAGAAUUUGAAUACAUUGCUUUUCGAUGUGCCUACUGUUUUUUCUUGAACCCUGC